CAAGUAGGAGUCAGGUUUUAAACCUAAUGGCUCUUUCAUGAUUAUAUGAUAGGUGGUGCAUGGCCGUUCUUAGUUCGUGGAGUGAUCUGUCUGCUUAAUUGCGUUUCAAAAUUUAACUUGAGGACCGGGUUUUGGUUUGGCUAGUGGUUCUACGAUGACUGUAACUGUCAUGUCUUCGGAUGUGCGACUAUUGGUCUAGGAUCACAUGACUUGCCCCUGGGACUCUUUUGAACGCAACGGACGUGAUUGCAACCCCUUGUUGAGAUUAGAGAUAGUCUCGAUAUUCACUGGACAAACUGGCUGCUUUAUGCAGUCUUGUUGAAUGGUGGAUAAACUCGGGGGACUGCUGACUAUAACCAUUUCUCAAAACAGAGGAAGGUUGCGGCAAUAACAGGUCUGUGAUGCCCUCAGAUGUCCCGGGCUGCACACGUGCUACAAUGAGUGGCGCAAUG
rnacentral:rRNA from 1 species